UAAUACGAAUUGUGCGAACGUUAUUCGGAAUCACUGGGCUUAAAGGGUGCGUAGGCGGCCAUGAAGGUCUGAUGUGAAAUCCCACGGCUCAACCGUGGAAUUGCGUUGGAAACCACAUGGCUUGAGUAGGACAGAGGUGAGCGGAACUGAUGGUGGAGCGGUGAAAUGCGUUGAUAUCAUCAGGAACACCGGUGGCGAAAGCGGCUCACUGGGUCCUAACUGACGCUGAGGCACGAAAGCCAGGGGAGCAAACGGGAUUAGAUACCCCGGUAGUCCUGGCCGUAAACGAUGAGUACUGGUCUGUGGAGACCCCCACAUCUUCACGGACGUAGCGAAAGUGCAAGUACUCCGCCUGGGGAGUAUGGUCGCAAGGCUG
rnacentral:rRNA from 1 species